UAGUGGGAGGGGUAACGGCCCACCAAGGCGACGAUCAGUAGCCGGUCUGAGAGGAUGGACCGCCACACUGGGAGUGAGACACGGCCCAGACUCCUACGGGAGGCAGCAGUGGGGAAUCUUCCGCAAUGGACGAAAGUCUGACGGAGCGACGCCGCGUGAGUGAUGAAGGCCCUUGGGUCGUAAAGCUCUGUCAUCAGGGACGAACGGUCACGUCAGGAAAUGGGCGUGAAUUGACGGUACCUGAGAAGGAAGCCACGGCUAACUACGUGCCAGCAGCCGCGGUAAUACGUAGGUGGCGAGCGUUGUCCGGAAUUAUUGGGCGUAAAGCGCGCGCAGGUGGGAUCUUAAGUCUGUUCUGAAAGUUCGGAGCUUAACUCCGUGAUGGGAUGGAAACUGGGAUUCUUGAGUAUCGGAGAGGAAAGCGGAAUUCCCCGUGUAGCGGUGAAAUGCGUAGAUAUGGGGAGGAACACCAGUGGCGAAGGCGGCUUUCUGGACGAUGUCUGACACUGAGGCGCGAAAGCGCGGGUAGCGAACGGGAUUAGAUACCCCGGUAGUCCUGGCCGUAAACGAUGGGUACUAGGUGUGGGGGGUGUCAACUCCUCCCGUGCCGGCGCUAACGCAAUAA
rnacentral:rRNA from 1 species